GACGAACGCUGGCGGCGUGCCUAAUACAUGCAAGUAGAACGCUGAAGGAAGGAGCUUGCUCUUUCCGGAUGAGUUGCGAGCGGGUGAGUAACGCGUAGGUAACCUGCCUGGUAGCGGGGGAUAACUAUUGGAAACGAUAGCUAAUACCGCAUAACAGUAGAUGUUGCAUGAUAUCUACUUAAAAGGUGCAAUUGCCCCACUACCAGAUGGACCUGCGUUGUAUUAGCUAGUUGGUGAGGUAACGGCUCACCAAGGCGACGAUACAUAGCCGACCUGAGAGGGUGAUCGGCCACACUGGGACUGAGACACGGCCCAGACUCCUACGGGAGGCAGCAGUGGGAAUCUUCGGCAAUGGACGGAAGUCUGACCGAGCAACGCCGCGUGAGUGAAGAAGGUUUUCGGAUCGUAAAGCUCUGUUGUAAGAGAAGAACGAGUGUGAGAGUGGAAAGUUCACACUGUGACGGUAUCUUACCAGAAAGGGACGGCUAACUACGUG
rnacentral:rRNA from 1 species